AUGGGUUUCCUUCAGUUUUCCUUUUGGCAGCAGUUUCCCACCGCAUUUCAGUGCGUGGUGGGGAGGUCUGGGGGUGCUGGAAGGGGAUGCUGUCGUGGUGUCCCCACGAUGUCCCCAUGGUGUCCCCGGGCUGCCUGCCCUGCGGGACCCACUUGUCAUUCUGCCCUUGUCCUGUGCGGUGGCGAAGCAGCGCCCGGGCCUGCAGCCACGCGUUAUGCAUCAUGCAUUAUGCAUGGUGCACACAGCAGUGGGAGCACAACGCACCCUGAGCAGUGCGUCCUGCACCCCGGUGUGCUGACAUUGCAGCCUGGGCCACAGCUCCCUCCCCAUCCCCCCCACCCCCCAUUUGCACUAGGGAUGCUUUUGCACCUGAGGGGGCGCAUGCACAAGCGAUGGGCAUUUGCACAAGGGAAUUGCUUUUGCACAAGGGAACUGCAUUUGCCCUCGGGACGAUGUGCACGUGGGGACAUCUGGGGACACGGGGACCUCGCCUGUUGCUCCACCAGCAGCUGCUGUCUCCGUGUUGUACCCAGUAGCAGUGCGUGGCACAGAGCUGCCGCUGCAUGCAUGCGGUCCCCUUUGCUUUUUAUGGGGUUAAAUUCAAGGGGGAGCAGGGCAGAGGCACGGCACCCAAAGCCACCCGUGUCCCCGCUGAGACCUGGUGAGCUCAGUGCAUCUGAGCUGGGCCUCGUUGGGGUUCAUUUGCAAGGGACUGAGGGUGUGGGGGGAGGGAGAGCUAAGAGCCCUGUGGAGAGACGUCUGGAGGGGUGCAGGACCACGUGGUGGGGAGUAGGAUCGUACAGCGGGACCACACAGGGCCGCAGGGUGACACGGGCUGGCACAGCACACAUGCAGGACCACAAAUUUAAUGCAGGACCGUAUAAUAGGGGGCACCACACGUUUUGCUGCAGCGCAUUCGGGACCCCCACUCAGCCCACCCCAUGGAGGUGCUUUGGGUCAGACCGCUGCUGCCCCAGCUGCCUGCAGGCUCUGCCCCACCUUUCCCCAUCCCAGAUGUACUUUGCUCCCAGACACGACUAG
rnacentral:lncRNA from 1 species